CGUUGGCCGAAGCAGGCACUGCUUGGGGAAGAGGGUCCUGGGGGCGGGGGGGGGAUUUCCUCUUUGCCUUCAGUGGUUGGGGAGGGGGCAGGGCUGCCACGGCUGGGGGCUCCCAUCUCUCUCUCUCUCUCUCUCUCUUGCUGCAGCCCCUCAGGUCACCCCUCCAGCAGGUGGCCCUCCGCCACCCCCGGGACCACCUCCAGCCCCCCCUGGGCCACCGCCAGGACCUCCUGGCCCACCGCUGGGAGCCCACAGCGGCCCUCCCCCUCCUCCUGGGCCCCCCCCUCCUCCGGGACCACCACCUGGCCCUCCGCCCUCAGGAGGGGGGCCGCCCCCAGCCCCUCCCCUCCCUGCUUCCCUGGGCCCAGGGGAAGGGGCCGGACCACCCACCGGCUUGGCCGCAGCACUGGCAGGAGCCAGGCUGAAGAAGACGGGGAAGGAGGAAGGAGCAAAGCCCCCCCCUGGCGCAGGAGCCCCCCCCAGCGCUCCCGGGGGAGGGGGGCUGAUGGAAGAAAUGAGUGCCAAGUUAGCCAGGCGAAGGCGAGUGGCGGAGCAAAGCGAGAAGGUGGUUCCAAAGAAGGACGAGGGCCCUUUGCAGGUGAGUCUGGGUGGGGCCCCCAAGGGACUUUCCCAUCC
rnacentral:lncRNA from 1 species